GACGAACGCUGGCGGCGUGCUUAACACAUGCAAGUCGAGCGGUAAGGCCCUUUCGGGGUACACGAGCGGCGAACGGGUGAGUAACACGUGGGUGACCUGCCCUCAGCUCUGGGAUAAGCCUGGGAAACUGGGUCUAAUACUGGAUAUGACUCCACGGUGCAUGUCGUGGGGUGGAAAGCCUUGUGCGGCUGAGGAUGGGCCCGCGGCCUAUCAGCUUGUUGGUGGGGUGANGGCCUACCAAGGCGACGACGGGUAGCCGGCCUGAGAGGGCGACCGGCCACACUGGGACUGAGACACGGCCCAGACUCCUACGGGAGGCAGCAGUGGGGAAUCUUGCGCAAUGGGCGAAAGCCUGACGCAGCGACGCCGCGUGAGGGAUGACGGCCUGG
rnacentral:rRNA from 1 species